ensembl:lncRNA
CGUGUCUGUAACAUCCAUUGUUGCAGACCGAAGAAACAGCAGGAAUGACAGGAAAGAACUCGGUGGGGCUUCUUCAAACUUACUGCAGCGUAUGGAAAAUUUUGUGGAUUGCCAUUGAUCGCUAAAAUGUUGUGCCUUAGAAAUAACUUAGAGAACAUUUCCAGGAAGGCGUCCUCGUGAGCGAAUCAAUCUCACUCACACCGUGAGCCAACCUGGAGCAGUCAGCUUCAAUUUCAUUCACAAUGCUUACCUGCCAACCUAGCGCUGUGUUCCCUACGCUGAUAAUUGAGGAACUUGUGUAAAUUAUAUUUGCCCUUUCGUCUUUUCAACAAGAGUGAACAUAAUGGCCUUAUCUGAACAUUUCUUAGAUAGUAAUUCAAAGGCUUCUUUUUCUCCUUUCAUAGUCAAUUAUUAAUUCCAGAAACCGGCAGCCAUUUUUGAAACGAAACCAUUUUUAACAGUGAGAUUGACAGUUUUGACACUGUCAUUCUGUGUGGACAACAAAAGCCAAAAAUGAGAUUCCAGCUCGUCUUUACUUUGUUGAGCUGACAGUGUGCAGUGAACACAAUUGUUGAAUAGACUUGAAAGAGGUUGUGUGUAUCUCUGUAUGUAUGUGUGUGAGAAAGAGACAGUGGUGUUGUGGUGUGCCCCAGGGCCUGGCUAACUGCAAGAGGGGAAGCAGUGAAAUUGCUGCACGGGAGAUCAACAGUAUCUGGUGUGAAACAUGAACGUGUCUUCCAGGCUAAACUGAGAUUUUCAUGUUUCCUGUGGCCCGGGCGAGUAACAGACACACAUUACAUAUGCUCCUCUCCCCUUCAGCUAUUCUCAAUCAAGAGUAAAGUGGCUCAGGGGAAGUGUAAUAUUGACCGGGAUAGGUGAGUAAACAUACUAAUCUUUCGAUAAUCAAUACAGAAUUCCAGUGUUUCUCUCUCUCUUAGUUCUUUUUCUCUCUCAUCCUCUUCAUAUGUUUUCUUUCUUGCUUUCUUUCUGUGGAGACCUGCUGCAGUUUAGUGGCCUUAGGGACUGGAUGAAGUGCCAGAGGCUCGUCU